GACGAACGCUGGCGGCGUGCUUAACACAUGCAAGUCGAACGAAGUGGCGAACGGGUGAGUAACGCGUAGGUAACUCCCUAUUAGAGGGGGUUAACUAUUGGAAACGAUAGCAAAUACCGCAUACUAGUAGAUGGACCUGCGUUGUAUUAGGUAGUAGGUAGGGUAAUGGCCUCCCUAGGCAACGAUACAUAGGCGACCUGAGGAGGGGAUCGGCCCAAACGGGACUGGGACACGGCCCCGACUCCUUCGGGAGGCAGGAGGAGGGAAUCUUCGGCAAUGGGGGGAACCCUUGCCGGGCAACGCCGCGUGAGGUAAGGAGGUUUUCGGGUCGUAAAGCUCUGGUGGUAAGGAAGCGGUACUUAACCAGAAAGGGACGGCUAACUACGUGCCAGCCGCCGCGGUAAUAC
rnacentral:rRNA from 1 species